AUUGAACGCUGGCGGCAGGCCUAACACAUGCAAGUCGAACGGUAACAGGAAGCAGCUUGCUGCUUCGCUGACGAGUGGCGGACGGGUGAGUAAUGUCUGGGAAACUGCCUGAUGGAGGGGGAUAACUACUGGAAACGGUAGCUAAUACCGCAUAACGUCGCAAGACCAAAGAGGGGGACCUUAGGGCCUCUUGCCAUCGGAUGUGCCCAGAUGGGAUUAGCUAGUAGGUGGGGUAACGGCUCACCUAGGCGACGAUCCCUAGCUGGUCUGAGAGGAUGACCAGCCACACUGGAACUGAGACACGGUCCAGACUCCUACGGGAGGCAGCAGUGGGGAAUAUUGCUCAAUGGGCGCAAGCCUGAUGCAGCCAUGCCGCGUGUAUGAAGAAGGCCUUCGGGUUGUAAAGUACUUUCAGCGGGGAGGAAGGGAGUAAAGUUAAUACCUUUGCUCAUUGACGUUACCCGCAGAAGAAGCACCGGCUAACUCCGUG
rnacentral:rRNA from 1 species